ACGGGGAGCAGCAGGCGCGAAACCUUUACACUGCACGAACGUGCGAUAAGGGGACUCCAAGUGCGAGGGCAUACAGUCCUCGCUUUUUCCUACCGUAAGGAGGUAGGCGAAUAAGAGCUGGGCAAGACCGGUGCCAGCCGCCGCGGUAAUACCGGCAGCUCGAGUGAUGGCCACUAUUAUUGGGCCUAAAGCGUCCGUAGCUGGCCGAACAGGUCCGUCGGGAAAUCCGCUCGCUCAACGAGCGGACGUCCGGCGGAAACCAGUCGGCUUGGGACCGGAGGACCCGAGGGGUGCGUCCGGGGUAGGAGUGAAAUCCUGUAAUCCUGGACGGACCACCGGUGGCGAAAGCGCCUCGGGAGGACGGAUCCGACAGUGAGGGACGAAAGCUUGGGUCACGAACCGGAUUAGAUACCCGGGUAGUCCAAGCUGUAAACGAUGCUCGCUAGGUGUGGCACUGGCUACGAGCCAGUGCUGUGCCGUAGGGAAGCCGAGAAGCGAGCCGCCUGGGAAGUACGUCCGCAAGGAUGAAACUUAAAGGAAUUGGCGGGGGAGCAC
rnacentral:rRNA from 1 species